ACAGACCAGAUACAACACCCUGACCAAAGAGAGAGACCAGCUACAGAAAGAGACAGAACUUCUGAAACAAUCUUUGGUUGAGAAAGAGUGUCCGCAAGGAUGGAAGAAGCUUGGUAGCCGUUGUUACUACAUCUCUACUAAGAAGAACACCUGGGAGAAGAGCAGACAGGACUGCAGAGAUAACGGAGCAGACCUGGUGAUCAUCAACAGCCAAGACAAACAGACAUUUGUCAAUUGGUUAUGUGGAGUAAAGGACUAUGUCUGGAUUGGUCUGACUGACUCUGUUACUGAGGGGACCUGGAAAUGGGUGGACGACACACCA